ensembl:lncRNA
GUAAUUUCUCAAUUUUUCCUCUAAAUUUAGCAUCUUCCUGCAGGUUUCAGGGAUCUAAGGGUGAAUUUCUGCCCGAUAAAUGUUAUAAUUCUGAUGUUUUUCUGAUAAAUUUAGCAUCUUUCUGCAGGUUUUGGUGUAAUUUCUCAGUUUUUCCUCUAAAUUUAACGUCUUCCUGCAGGUUUCAGGGCUCUCAGGAUGAAUUUCUGCCCGAUAAAUGUUAUAAUUCUGAUAUUUUUCUUAUAAAUUUAGCAUCUUUCUGCAGGUUUCAGGGCUCUCAGGAUGAAUCUCUACCUUAUAAAAGUUGUUAUUUUGAUGUUUUUACUCUAAACUUCAUGUCUUCCUGCAGGUUUUGGUGUAAUUUC